rnacentral:rRNA from 1 species
AGUGAACGCUGGCGGUAGGCCUAACACAUGCAAGUCGAACGGCAGCACAGUAAGAGCUUGCUCUUACGGGUGGCGAGUGGCGGACGGGUGAGGCAUACAUCGGAAUCUACUUUUUCGUGGGGGAUAACGUAGGGAAACUUACGCUACUACCGCAUACGACCUACGGGUGAAAGCAGGGGAUCUUCGGACCUUGCGCGAUUGAAUGAGCUGAUGUCGGAUUAGCUAGUUGGCGGGGUAAAGGCCCACCAAGGCGACGAUCCGUAGCUGGUCUGAGAGGAUGAUCGGCCACACUGGAACUGAGACACGGUCCAGACUCCUACGGGAGGCAGCAGUGGGGAAUAUUGGGCAAUGGGCGAAAGCCUGACCCAGCCAUACCGCGUGAGUGAAGAAGGCCUUCGGGUUGUAAAGCCCUUUUGUUAGGAAAGAAAAGCAGCAGGUUAAUACCCCGCUGUUCUGACGGUACCCAAAGAAUAAGCACCGGCUAACUUCGUG